CUUCAGAGCAACCCUUGACCUGUAACGAAGAGCAGAAGAUUAUGCCAGAAAAAAGGUGUUUAGAAGAAAAGAUCUCAAAAAAUGUGCGGUUUGGAAAAGUUUCAAUAUGAAGGGUAGGACGUUGGGAGCUUCUGGAUGAGAUUAAAACAACGGAGAAACUGCACUUUCUGCUGUAUGUAAAUACUGCAGCUUUCACUGCGGGGCUAGAAACACAUCUGAUGUGACCAAAAAAGGUGAGGCAGCUCUGAAUUGGAAACAUCGAAAAGAAAUGGAAAUACAUUAAGGCUGUAAGCUGCUUCAGUUUCAAGGUUCUGUGAUCUGAUUGGAUGCAGCUGCAAGAGAGCACCAUGGGAAUGCAACAGCAGCUGGAUUUAGUGUACAGCCUCAGAACCUAGAAAAACAAACUCUUUCUGUGUCUGUGUGUGUGCGCGAUUAACUUUUCAAGUGUCCAGGCUUUACACAAAGGGAUUGUGCAAACAUUGCAAACAGAAAUUUACAAACUGAAAAUUCAAUGAUUCAACAAUAUCCCCUACACAUGUCUGUGCACUCCAAUCACUUUUGACGAUUACUCCUUGUACAUGGAUUGUUUUUAGCAAUCCAAAUAAACUGUAACAUUUUUUAUAACUAAAAACAGUUAUAAUGCAUUAAUACAUGAUACAAAAUAAAAAUAUGAUUUUCCGUAAUGUGGCCUCACUUAAACCAUUGUUUAAAAUACUUUCUUAAACUGUUUUGAUCUAAAAAUCAGAAAGUCUUAGUCUAUAGCUAACAACAAGUCUCUGCACGUUUCUGGUUGAGACUGUAAAGUGUGGUGAAAUCUAGGCGUGAAAUAAUCAUUUCACAGCAGGGGCAUGUGCAGGUAUGCCUGCAGCCAGCAGGCUUAUGGAGUCCCGCAUCUAUGUCAGCAAGCGGUUGUGCAAGGUUUGGCUGCGUCACAAGGUGAUGAUGGACAUAAUUUCACGCCUCGGGCCUUCCAAUGCCGUUCACUUUACAAUCUGCAGGACGAGGCUUGUAGGAGGUUGCCGGAGCAACAGGUUUUCACAUGAAGUGAUUAUUGUUGGAGGAACAAAAGACAUGA